rnacentral:tRNA from 1 species
GGAGAGGUGGCCGAGUGGCUGAAGGCGCACGCCUGGAACGCGUGUGUGGGUUAACCGCCCACCGUGGGUUCGAAUCCCACCCUCUCCGCCA